AUUUGGGCUGUUUACUCACAUGUACCAAGAGUCUCAGAGUUUGAAGGAGAGAGGAGCUAGCCAUUUGCUCCUGAAAUACUUGUCUACCAGACCUGUCUGAUCAGCAUUUCCCAGAGACACAAAUUACUAUAAAGUUAUCCCUGAUCUUAUAUCGUGACAAGGGCUUCGCCAUUUCCGGGACUUCUGCACGGAUGGAUUUCAGAGGUGUUGACACCCAG